rnacentral:tRNA from 1 species
UCCUCAUUGGCGCAAUCGGUUUAGCGCGUCCGACUUUUAAUCGGAAGGUUGUGGGUUCGAGUCCCACAUGAGGAG